AUGUGGUGGCUGGGAUUCCCUCCUGCCCACUCCCUGGCCGUAGGCUGUGCUACCUGGACAGCUUUCCUUUAUCCAGCAGUGAGGGGUAGAGGCAGCCUCCCUCAGCUCUCUCCUGCUGCAGGUUUCAGCGCAGAGUUGAUGGUCUCUUGCCAUAUCAGGCUACGUCCAGCCCAGGGACAGUGCCAGCAGCAGGAACAAGAGGCAGAAUCUUUCCCAUCCUUAUUAAACCCUCUUCCUCUCCCUUUCAGGAGCAGGACACCUGUGUUUGUGCAGAUGAUGCUGUGGGCUCUUCCCUCACCGAUGGAAGUGGAUCAAAAGUCAGUGCUUUUUUUCUGGAAUAGAAGACUUGCGAGGAUGCUCAGGUGUGAUGGGAGCAGCAGCCUGGUUGGCUCUUGCUUUUACUGCAGACAAAAUUGAAAGGGCAAGGUGGGACGAGAAAAGCAUGUGUAAAGGGGAAAGGAGAGAAGGAACCCAAGGAGAACACUUCCUUCCCCCACCAUGACCCAUGGAAAGAAGAGAUGCAAUGGGCAGACAGCAGUAGGGACAUGGAGGUGGCUCGCAGCUGCCCUCUCUUAACUCCAGCAGCACAGCCCCAGAGCUCUUCCCAAAGGAGGAGCUGGGCAACAAGCAGGUGAGUUGUUCUGCAAACUUUUUUUUUUGGCCAUGGAUUAAAUAAAUGAAGACCUGCUUUGUAUCA
rnacentral:lncRNA from 1 species